rnacentral:rRNA from 1 species
UUUUUAGUUGUGGAUGCAUCUACCAGUCGCCUUGAGUAGCAGUGCCCUUUGGGGUCGCGCCGGGGCGCGACUCUAAACAAGCCCGGGUCCACGGUCGUUCGUGGUGCUAGUUCCCCCUCCGCGGGAGGGGGGGCGACACCGUUGAAUUGCGGGGAGGCCCUAAAGGCCCCGGCGUCGCCGGAGGGCGAAGGCCCUUUGGUGGUUUGGACCGGCGGCAUGAGCCCUUAGGGGCGAAAUGGGUGACUCGCAGCCAUCUCGUCCACGAUGCCCCGUGCUUCGUGGAGGGGUGGUCCACAGACUAAGCGACGGUGGGCGUGCAUUCUCACGUCUAAGAUAUAGUCGGACCUCGACUCGCGUCGGGGGUCGCGGUGCUGGGUGGCCCCCUCUUUGGGGGCCUCCGCGGCGCCGGGCAUGUUCCGUAGGUGAACCUGCGGAAGGAUCAUUAUCGAGAGCGGCGGCGCCCUAGCCAUGGGCCCGAUCCGUCCCACCCCUUGUCUAUCCACCUCUGUUGCCUCGACGGACGGGUGCACUCGUUCGUCGAAGGCCCCCCUAACAACGCUUUAACGGUGGGGUUCUGAGUGUCGAUUUUAAUAGCACUAAAACUUUCAACAACGGAUCUCUUGGCUCUGGCGUCGAUGAAGAACGCAGCGAAACGCGAUAGGUAAUCUGAAUUGCAGAAUUCAGCGAAUGAUCGAAUCUUUGAACGCACAUGGCGCCCUCUGGUAUCCCGGGGGGCACGCCUGUCCGAGCGUCAUUACACCCCUCAAGCCUCGCUUGGUAUUGGGCCCCGCCGCGUCGUCGGCGGGCCUUAAACGUGCUGGCGGCGUCGUGGGCCCCCGAAGCGCACAUGGUCUCGAACCGCGCGCGAGGACGGCCGCGGCGCCCGCCACGGUGGGUUCAACCCUCCACCCUCGUAUCGACCUCGGAUCAGGCGGGGAUACCCGCUGAACUUAAGCAUAUCAUAAAAAAGCGGAAGAA